GUCUACGGCCAUGCUACCCUGAACACACCCAAUCCCAUCUGAUCUCGGAAGCUAAGCAGGGUCGGGCCUGGUUAGUACUUGGAUGAGAGACCACUUAGGAAGACCAGGUGCUGUAGGCA
rnacentral:rRNA from 1 species